rnacentral:rRNA from 1 species
CGGACGGGUGAGUAACACGUGGGUAACCUACCUAUAAGACUGGGACAACUUCGGGAAACCGGAGCUAAUACCGGAUAAGAUAUCGAACCGCAUGGUUCGAUAGUGAAAGANGGUUUUGCUAUCACUUAUAGAUGGACCCGCGCCGUAUUAGCUAGUUGGUGAGGUAACGGCUCACCAAGGCAACGAUACGUAGCCGACCUGAGAGGGUGAUCGGCCACACUGGAACUGAGACACGGUCCAGACUCCUACGGGAGGCAGCAGCU